rnacentral:lncRNA from 1 species
CUGGAAACAAUGCCGAGAGAAAUUUUUGAUGUGAUUGGGAAGCUGGGAGGGGCCGUGGGGCUGGAGCGGCCUCCCUUCCCUCCUGCCCCUGUCUGUCCCUCUAGAGCUGCCUGGAAGUGAGAGGUCUGCAUGGCUGUCACAGAUAGAUCAAAAGUGAUCAGUGUGAUGACCGGGAAGGGACAACUGAGCCCGAUUUCAGAGCUCGGACUCCCUUCUCCAGAUCCAUGUGGACCAGUCGGAUGUCAGUUUGGAAGGGGACACAGCGAGGUGUCUGAGAAGGAACUUGGGCGCUCCCUCUCCUACUCCUGGACUUCUCAGAUACGAAGUGGAAAAACAGUGGUGCGACACAGUGUGAGGUGAGGAGAGCUAAUUCAGGAGGUUUUACUGAUGCUCACUUUGGCCCAGCCGCUGGGGAUUUAAGACUCAGCAGCUCAGUUUCAUGAAGGUGGCAGACGUUUAAAUCCUAACGCGCUGUGAAAGAAGCAAUAGUAGAGGAGGAUGGCACAGAAGAACAGAGGAAGGAUCACCAUUCUGGGACAUGGGAUAGCCUGCUGCCUGAGACUUCAUCCCCCAGGAAGAUCUAAAGGACCUCAUUCAUACUAACAUGUAAAAGACUAAUAUCUUCUGGGAUACUUAACUUUCUGCAAAGAUGUGUGGCUUUGUCUGCAUUGGUCCUUGGAGAGAGCUGGAAUCACACACACACACACACACACACACACACACACACACACACCAUGCGAUCUUUCCAGUACCUUUUAAGGUAUUUUAUGUUGGCAAUCGCCUGCUUCACCAAUGUGAUGUUCUCUUUCCUGCCAACUCCUACUAGGAUGGAUCAUGGCAUUAGAGGAAGCAGCCUCUCUUAGCCUGGGUUCAGGUCACUGACUCUGCAGAAGGAGGGAUGAAUGAGCCCUACCUGCCUAUGCCCUGAAACACUGAGAAUGGCUUCAGCAAGAACUGAAGAGGAGAUCAGGGGUGUUUUUGUGUCUGUAAGUUGAGUCUCUGUUUGGAACACUGGAAGGGGAAGAGGGCCAAGGGCAGGAAUAGGGUCCAAAUGAAAAACUAGGCUUACAGCCAGAAACACUGAGAGACAAAGAGGAAGAGAGGAAAAAAGAAUGGCUCGCUGAAAUGGAUGUGCUCAGAUGGGAUUAUCUAUGAAUUUUACUUAUUUCUCAGUGAUUUUCUGUUUUCCAAAGUUUCUUCAUUGAGCAUGUGUCCAUGUUCCUCUUAAACAGAUGUACUAUUUCAGACAGACUCAAUUGGCCUGGCACAGUUCCUCAAUAGAAUUUCAGUAAAUACUCAAUAAAUAUUUGUUGAUCUUUUUUGAAAAUGGGGGUCUCAAUACGCCCAGAUUCUCAGCUCCUGUGCAGGCCCCUGGAUUUUGGAAUGCCAGAGGUGGGCAGGGCAAGUGGGGGAGGAGUCUGUGAGGGCACCUGUCCCUAGAACCACCACACUUCUUUCAGAUGGAAAGCCUUUAGUUUCUCCAAACUAAACUUUCCACAGAAGCCCAGAGAGGAGAGUAGGUCAGGGUACAUUUGAGGAGGGGAGAGGAAGCAGGCGUGCCCCCACACCCUGAGAGCUGCCCUGGGGAUCCCAUGACCUCCAGUGUGAAAAUUGUAAGCUUGCUCUCACUCUGUCCCUCAAGCAGACAUUUUUUCAAAUUUGGAGCCUCAGAUUGAAACAAUGGGCUCAAGAUCACAUAAUAAAUUGGCAGCCAAACCAGAUCACAGCCAGAACUUGCCCCAGAAUGGCCUCUCCUUGGUUUUGACUGACUUGACUGCCCAUUGCAAACAAAUUGUUGUGGCCAUGGGUUGGGUGGGGGUAGGGGGAUCUGCUGAUCGUUUAAAGUCCAUCAGGGCCCACCCUUGAAGCUGUGGCUUGGUGAGUCUCCCUAAAUCACAUGUACCAGAAUGUCAGUGGAUUGUUGGUUAUGAAAGAGUAAGAAAGCACUAGAGGGAGAGACGGUCUUAGAAGUCCUGCUAGCUCUAUUGGACCACUGUCCCUAUG